UGGGGAAUUUUGGACAAUGGGGGCAACCCUGAUCCAGCCAUGCCGCGUGAGUGAAGAAGGCCUUCGGGUUGUAAAGCUCUUUCAGACGGAAAGAAACGGUUACGGCUAAUACCCGUGACUAAUGACGGUACCGUCAGAAGAAGCACCGGCUAACUACGUGCCAGCAGCCGCGGUAAUACGUAGGGUGCGAGCGUUAAUCGGAAUUACUGGGCGUAAAGCGUGCGCAGGCGGUUUUCUAAGCCAGAUGUGAAAUCCCCGGGCUUAACCUGGGAACUGCAUUUGGAACUGGAAGGCUAGAGUACGGCAGAGGGGGGUAGAAUUCCACGUGUAGCAGUGAAAUGCGUAGAUAUGUGGAGGAAUACCGAUGGCGAAGGCAGCCCCCUGGGUCGAUACUGACACUCAUGCACGAAAGCGUGGGGAGCAAACAGGAUUAGAUACCCUGGUAGUCCACGCCCUAAACGAUGUCAACUAGGUGUUGGGGAAGGAGACUUCUUUAGUACCGCAGCUAACGCGAUAAGUUGACCGCCUGGGGAGUACGGUCGCAAGAUUA
rnacentral:rRNA from 1 species